rnacentral:rRNA from 1 species
AUUGAACGCUGGCGGCGUGCUUAACACAUGCAAGUCGAUCGGUAACGCGGGGGCAACCCUGGCGACGAGAGGCGGACGGGUGAGGAACGCUUGGGAAUCUGCCUAUCAGCGGGGGACAACCCGGGGAAACUCGGGCUAAUACCGCAUACGCUCUACGGAGGAAAGCCGGAGACCGCAAGGCCUGGCACUGAUAGAUGAGCCCAAGUCGGAUUAGCUAGUUGGCGGGGUAACGGCUCACCAAGGCGACGAUCCGUAGCUGGUCUGAGAGGACGAUCAGCCACACUGGGACGGAGACACGGCCCAGACUCCUACGGGAGGGAGCAGCGGGGAAUAUUGGACAAUGGGGGAAACCCUGAUCCAGCGACGCCGCGUGGGUGAAGAAGGCGUGCGGGUGGUAACGCCCUUUCGGUAGGGACGAAAGCUCUCGACCUAACACGUCGGGAGGUUGACUUAACCUACAAAAGAAGCACCGGCUAACGCUGUGCCAGCCGCCGCGGUAAGAC